GUGUAUAUGUGUGUGUGCGUAGAUUGAGAAAGAGAAAAAGGGGCAAAGACCUUCAUCUUAUAAACACAAAAAAAUUCAGCAAUUAGGAAGGAAAUUGGUGAUCAAUCUUAUGCAUGAAGAUCAUCUCUUAACCAUCAAAGUUUGAUAAUCAUAAGUGGGUUUUGAUACCACAAUGAAAUUGAAGGUCUUUUGGUGUGAAAGAAGAAGGAUCAAGCAAAAAGAGGUCACAAAGUUCAAACGAUCGAGGUAAAUCAUCGUGUUAGAUGGCACCAAGCUUGGAACUAACACAUCACUCUCAUAUCACGUUUCCGCGUUUCAUGUUCAAACGGGUCAAAAACAUUUUGUACUUAUGUUUAAGUUUAGUCGUACAUUUGUAAGAUUGUGUUUAAAAUUUAUUAUGUUAUUUACUAGUAAACUUUUAAGUAACUAACUUCGUUUGUAAAUUUUGGGUUUGUACAAGUUAAUGAAUG
rnacentral:lncRNA from 1 species